CAGUCGCCGCGGUAAUACAGAGGGUGCAAGCGUUAAUCGGAAUUACUGGGCGUAAAGCGCGCGUUGGUGGUUUGUUAAGUUGGAUGUGAAAUCCCCGGGCUCAACCUGGGAACUGCAUCCAAAACUGGCAAGCUAGAGUAUGGUAGAGGGUGGUGGAAUUUCCUGUGUAGCGGUGAAAUGCGUAGAUAUAGGAAGGAACACCAGUGGCGAAGGCGACCACCUGGACUGAUACUGACACUGAGGUGCGAAAGCGUGGGGAGCAAACAGGAUUAGAUACCCCCGUAGUCCCUGUCUCUUAUAC
rnacentral:rRNA from 1 species